AAGAAUCUAGAAUACAUACACACGAUGCCGUCAUGUAUAUUUAAGUUUAAAAUGGUUAGACAUAAAUUCUAUUUAUAAAAAAUUUAUAUCCUUGAAGAAUCUUAAUGGAAAGCAAAAUAUGUAAUAGAGACUGCUGGGUGAAUCAAAGUAAGUAAUAGUAAACGUAAAAAUGUAGAAAAGUGGGGCCGGCGCGUGCCGGUCGCGCGGCUGCUGUUCCUCCUGCUGUGGGACCGCUGAGCGCGCGCAGCUGCUUCGCUCUCCCAGCUCCAAGUACGGGUCUGGGCACCCGCCACCAGCAUGGGUGCUCGCCGCGUGCCGCAGAAAGAUCUCAGAGUAAAGAACUUAAAGAAAUUCAGAUAUGUGAAGUUGAUUUCCAUUGAAACCUCAUCAUCCUCUGAUGACAGUUGUGACAGCUUUGCUUCUGAUAAUUUUGCAAACACUAGACUGCAGUCAGUUCGGGAAGGCUGUAGGACCCGCAGCCAGUGCAGGCACUCUGGACCUCUCAGGGUGGCGAUGAAGUUUCCAGCUCGAAGUACCAGAGGAGCAACCAACAAAAAAGCAGAGCUCCCACAGUUCUCCGAGAAUUCUGUGACUGAUUCCAACUCCGAUUCAGAAGAUGAAAGUGGGAUGAAUUUUUUUGGAGAAAAGGGCUUUAAAUAUAAAGCAAAACAAAGCAAUGCUUGCAAAACUCAUGUCUGAAUUAGAAAGCCUCCCUGGCUCGUUCCCUGGAAGACAUUCCCUCCCAGGCCCCAACUCACAAUCGAGGAGACCUCGAAGGCAUACAUUCCCGGGUGUUGCGUCCAGGAGAAAUCCUGAACGGAGAGCUCGUCCUCUUACCAGGUCAAGGUCCCGGAUCCUCGGGUCCGUUGACACGCUACCCAUGGAGGAGGAGGAAGAGGAUAAGUACAUGUUGGUGAGAAAGAGGAAGACCGUGGACAGCUACAUGAAUGAAGAUGACAUGCCCAGAAGUCGUUGCUCCAGGUCAUCCCUGACCCUUCCGCAUAUAAUUCGCCCAGUGGAAGAAAUUACAGAGGAAGAUUUGGAGAACAUGUGCAGCAACUCUCCAGAGAAGAUAUAUAAUGUUCACUGGGCUCUACUUGUCAUCAAUGCCGUCAGAAGACUAUUGAUACCAAAACAAACUGCAGAAACCCAGACUGCUGUGGCGUUUGAGGACGGUUCUGUGGCCCCUGCAUUCGAAACCGUUAUGGUGAAGAGGUCAGGGAUGCUCUGCUGGAUCCGAACUGGCAUUGCCCGCCUCGUCGAGGAAUCUGCAACUGCAGUUUCUGCCGGCAGCGAGAUGGACGGUGUGCAACUGGGGUCCUUGUGUAUUUAGCCAGAUAUCAUGGCUUUGGGAAUGUGCAUGCCUAAUUGAAAAGUCUGAAACAGGAAUUUGAAAUGCAAGCAUAAUAUCUGGAAAAUUCACGGCCUGCCUUCUUCUCAAAUCUUUCUUGUUAAAGUUUCCAAUUUUUUCACUGAAACCUGAGUCAAGGAUCUUGAUGAUCAGCCUGUUUUUUAAGAAACUCCAAUCAAGGUAAUCUCAGUAGACGUGUUUCUGGAGCAUCAUGGAAGGUAUAUUACUAGUUACACUUUGCCUUCCUGCAGUUUAUUCUCUGCUCCCAACCUCCACCUCAUAGCAUCCCCCUCUAU